CUCUCUCUCUACCCCCAGCUGGUCAAGGUAGAUGUCUAUCCUCCAGGAGUCAAGGUCUGCUCCAGGUUUCUGCCUGUUAAAAGGAAGUUUCUCCUCACUACUAUCACCAGUCACUAGUGUUU